rnacentral:rRNA from 1 species
AUUGAACGCUGGCGGCAGGCCUAACACAUGCAAGUCGAGCGGUAGAGAGGUGCUUGCACCCCUUGAGAGCGGCGGACGGGUGAGUAAUGCCUAGGAAUCUGCCUAGUGGUGGGGGAUAACGUUCGGAAACGGACGCUAAUACCGCAUACGUCCUACGGGAGAAAGCGGGGGAUCUUCGGACCUCGCGCCAUUAGAUGAGCCUAGGUCGGAUUAGCUAGUUGGUGAGGUAAUGGCUCACCAAGGCGACGAUCCGUAACUGGUCUGAGAGGAUGAUCAGUCACACUGGAACUGAGACACGGUCCAGACUCCUACGGGAGGCAGCAGUGGGGAAUAUUGGACAAUGGGCGAAAGCCUGAUCCAGCCAUGCCGCGUGUGUGAAGAAGGUCUUCGGAUUGUAAAGCACUUUAAGUUGGGAGGAAGGGUCGUAACCUAAUACGUUACGGCUUUGACGUUACCGACAGAAUAAGCACCGGCUAACUUCGUGCCAGCAGCCGCGGUAAGAC